rnacentral:rRNA from 1 species
AGAACGAACGCUGGCGGCAUGCCUAACACAUGCAAGUCGAACGCUCAUCUUCGGAUGGGAGUGGCGCACGGGUGAGUAACGCGUGGGAACCUGCCCCGAGGUUCGGGAUAACCGAUGGAAACGUCGGCUAAUACCGGGAUACGUCCUAAGGGAGAAAGAUUUAUCGCCCUGGGAGGGGCCCGCGUCGGAUUAGCUAGUUGGUGGGGUAACGGCCUACCAAGGCGAUGAUCCGUAGCUGGUCUGAGAGGAUGAUCAGCCACACUGGGACUGAGACACGGCCCAGACUCCUACGGGAGGCAGCAGUGGGGAAUAUUGGACAAUGGGCGCAAGCCUGAUCCAGCAAUGCCGCGUGAGUGAUGAAGGCCUUAGGGUUGUAAAGCUCUUUCGGCGGGGACGAUGAUGACGGUACCCGCAGAAGAAGCCCGGCUAACUCGUAGCCAGCAGCCGC